AUUGAACGCUGGCGGCAGGCCUAACACAUGCAAGUCGAGCGGAUGAGAAGAGCUAGCUCUUCGAUUCAGCGGCGGACGGGUGAGUAAUGCCUAGGAAUCUGCCUGGUAGUGGGGGACAACGUUUCGAAAGGAACGCUAAUACCGCAUACGUCCUACGGGAGAAAGCAGGGGACCUUCGGGCCUUGCGCUAUCAGAUGAGCCUAGGUCGGAUUAGCUAGUUGGUGAGGUAAUGGCUCACCAAGGCGACGAUCCGUAACUGGUCUGAGAGGAUGAUCAGUCACACUGGAACUGAGACACGGUCCAGACUCCUACGGGAGGCAGCAGUGGGGAAUAUUGGACAAUGGGCGAAAGCCUGAUCCAGCCAUGCCGCGUGUGUGAAGAAGGUCUUCGGAUUGUAAAGCACUUUAAGUUGGGAGGAAGGACAGUAAGUUAAUACCUUGCUGUUUUGACGUUACCGACAGAAUAAGCACCGGCUAACUCUGUGCCAGCAGCCGCCGUAAUAC
rnacentral:rRNA from 1 species